rnacentral:rRNA from 1 species
AUGACAGAAACAUUUGCAACACAAGGCAAAAGAAUGUACUUUAAUGUCCACUUUUCUACGGGUUCCCUUUUCCCACACAUGAAUGCUGACCACGGUGAACUUCCAAUCACAACUGGAGACGGAACAACCACCGUCACGGUCCGCUUUAUCAAGGGAGUUGACAAAAGGGCCACCAUCACUAAAGGCUGGAGCGACUUCUUUCGUCGGACCCACAUGAACGAAGGAAUAAUGGCAACGCUUAUAAAGAAUUUCUUUGGGGAAUAUAUUGAAUUAUCCUUCCAUCAACAUGGAGAAGGGCUUUCUCCAGCCCGUGUUAACAUGUAA